GGUGCAUUUUUUCCUAAGGGACUUUUAUUUUGAUGCCGUGGUUUUGUUGUGAGUGUCCAUGGAGACGGAGAGCGAAAAAAAGUAAACUGGCAGGAGAGUGACGCGGGGUUUUCAGUGUAACAGUUACAGUUUUCGUGUGCUACAAAAGUAGUGAUUUUACUCUUUUUGGAGCUUCAAGCUAUAAGAGCAGCAGUGUGCGGUUAUUUUUGAGUUUUUUUUCUACGAAUAGCGUGCCUGCACGAUUUAAUGCAGCUGUGGUGACUUAAUCCAAAAAGUGCCCUAGUUACGGAGGAUUUGUAUCAGAUUCAUACGGUGUUAGAGACUGACUUUUGAGCAUAAAAGAGUUGCUGAAGUCGUGAGUCAUUUCAGAACACUGCUAUUUUCUGAUACUUUAUUGGAUUUAAGUUUUUUUUAGUUUUGCUGCAUUAUAUGUGACUGUAAUAUUAAGAUUGAGAUUAACCGUUAUUAACGGUUACCAACUGACAUCGUCAGUGUGUACACACAAAUUUUUGCAAAGGUGACAUCUCCCUGCUAACUCAUCUUAUUGCCAAAUACCAUCUCAUUGCUACAAGUUGUCUCAUUGCUACAAGUCUUCUCAUUGCUACAAGUCGUCUCAUUGCUACCAGUUGUCUCAUUGCUACAAGUCUUCUCAUUGCUACAAGUCGUCUCAUUGCUACAAGUCGUCUCAUUGCUACAAGUCGUCUCAUUGCUACAAGUCGUCUCAUCUCAACGGAAGUUGUCAUUCACCAGUUGCCUUCACUGUGGACUGGUACACCUUUCUUAUACACACACUCACAGGUGCUGAUAGUGCAUGAUUGUGAGUUGGACUGGGUAUUUGUGACUUCGAGAUUGUAAAGG